CAGCCGCCACGGUAAUACGGAAGGUCCGGGCGUUAUCCGGAUUUAUUGGGUUUAAAGGGAGCGUAGGCCGGGGAUUAAGUGUGUUGUGAAAUGUAGGCGCCCAACGUCUGACUUGCAGCGCAUACUGGUUCCCUUGAGUACGCGCAACGCCGGCGGAAUUCGUCGUGUAGCGGUGAAAUGCUUAGAUAUGACGAAGAACCCCGAUUGCGAAGGCAGCCGGCGGGAGCGCAACUGACGCUGAAGCUCGAAGGUGCGGGUAUCGAACAGGAUUAGAUACCCCGGUAGUCCCUGUCUCUUAUAC
rnacentral:rRNA from 1 species